rnacentral:lncRNA from 1 species
UAUUCACCUGAUACGUUUAAGACGGUGAAAUACGCUAUUGUGAACUAUAUAUCAGCUCACAGGUUAUCGCCUGCUAGUCAAGCCUUUGUGAGUCAGAUGUCAGCAAUAAAUAUUCCCACAAAGGUGCAGGAGGCUUUGUUAGAUUCUAAGUGGGCUGAUGCAAUGACUGAAGAAAUGAAAACGCUUGAAAAAAAAAUUAGACAUGGGAUUUAGUGUCUGCCAGAAGGAAAAAAACCAAUAGGGUGCCGAUAGGUACACACUGUGAAACACAAGCCAAAUGGUACAAUUGACAGGUAAAAAAAAGGGAUAUACUCUGAAGUAUGGUAUUUAUUAUGAGGAGACUAUUGCACCUGUCACAAAAAUCAAUAAUAUACGCGUCUAAUGUCUCUGGCUGCAAAUUUAGAUUGGCCCCUGUAGUAGUAUGAUGUGAAGAAUGUUUUUUUAAUGGUGAUUUAUGUGAAGAAAUGUAUAUGAGUAUGCCUCAUGGUUACAUUAUUGCUGGACAAACAGACGUUGUGGGCAAGUUAAACUUAAAACAGGCCUUAUAUGGAUUGAUGCCAAACGAAGUUUACAUGUUGAUACAAGAGACAUUGAAUUCUAAGAAGCAUGGGGAUGCUGCAUUUCGAGCUAAGGAUUUUGCAACCGCGAUAGAUUCUUACGCAGAGUAAGUCACAAAUUUAGAAAUACAAAGUUUGCAUGUCACAAGUUCUUUCAUCAAAAUCCAGAUACAUAUUCAUCUGGACUUAAGUUAGACAAAGUUAUUAGUAGCGGGGUUACAAGAAUUUGAACUUUCUGUCUUCUUGAACAUAGAAAUCUAUGACUUUGUAUAAUCAGAUAACCUCACAUGAAUAGAAAUUAUAGUUCCUUAGGAAAUAUUAGCUUUACAAAGCCUACUACUAUGCAUAUGACAGAUAGAGAGUAGAAUUGCAUACACUUUUCAUCUUACUCCUCGGUGGAUCUUGUUGCUCUUCAUUGCAGUUCAUUGCUGGCGGGACGAUGAUAUCGCCAACUGUGUUUGCUAUGCUUAUGUUACUUGAUGAUGGCACAAGAAGCUCUUGGAGAUGCUAUGCAAGCCCAGUAAUAAACCCUGAAUGGCCAACUUCCUUCUAUCUUCAAGCAGCUGCCCUGAAGAGCCUAGGGAUGGACAAUGAUGCGCAGGAAACUCUAAAUGAUGGAGCGUCGUUGGAAGUCAAAAAAAAUAAAAGCUGAAACUGUAUAGGUGUUUUUCCCUCUUCUUUCAUUUACAAUUGUAUCUAGCUUUUUCCAUCUUCCUACUUUGACAUUUUCUGUUCUGCUCUGCGGCAACAGGAGGAUUAAUUGUAACAAUCUUUAUGUUGGUCUUGG